UGGGUAUAAAAAUACGUAAAUACUCGAGUAAAGAAAUCAGUUGCAGAGUAAGUUUCUACGACGUCACUAAAAGUUUUACGAAGAAGUUCUCAUUCUGUAGUUUUGUCGCUGGUUUAGUAUUCAAGAGUUCUGUUAUCAUGAAGACCUGUCUAAUACUAGUUUUGAUGUGCAUGGUAGUUAUGCAAGCGUUGUCAGCACCGCACUUCUUCGAAGAAGAUGCACUCCCCCAGCGUAAAGGCAGAGAAAUGACAGGAUUUAAACGAUUAGAAAGAAAUGGAUAUGUUUCAUCAGAUGAUAAAAGAAUGGAAGAUUCAUUCCGAAGAAGAUCACAAUAAUAUCAAUACACGGUAUAGUGUCGACAGCUGCAUUUGUUGAAGAGGAAUUUAUUCGUUAUCUAAAAAGAACACAAGACGUGCUUUAGCUGAUUAAGAAGUCGAGAAAAACCUGGAACGAGUUAGCACUGCAAUGCAUUGUGGGACUGUUUUAGGGGACAUGUUUCAAAGAUGGCGUCUAUCUCUAUCUAUAUGUCAACAGAUAUACAGCAAAAAAUUGUAAAAACUCACGAUGCAAGCGAUUAA